rnacentral:rRNA from 1 species
GGAAAAGAAACUAACAAGGAUUCCCCUAGUAACGGCGAGUGAAGAGGGAAGAGCCCAAGAUUGAAAGCUGGCGUCUUCGGCGUCCGCAUUGUAAUCUCAAGAAGUGUUUUCCGCUUCGGACCAUGCCUAAGUCCCUUGGAAAAGGGCAUCAUAGAGGGUGAUAAUCCCGUACAUGGCAUGGAGCGCCCGAAGCUUUGUGAUACGCUUUCUAAGAGUCGAGUUGUUUGGGAAUGCAGCUCAAAAUGGGUGGUAAAUGCCAUCUAAGGCUAAAUAUUGGGGAGAGACCGAUAGCGAACAAGUACAGUGAUGGAAAGAUGAAAAGAACUUUGAAAAGAGAGUUAAACAGUACGUGAAAUUGCCAAAAGGGAAGGGUAGGAGGUCAGAGAUGCGUUCUGGGAUUCAGCCUUGCUUUUGCUUGGUGUUUUUCCCAAAUUGCAGGCCAACGUCGGUUUUGGGCGCUGGAGAAGGGUGGAAGGAACGUGGCACCCCUCGGGGUGUGUUAUAGCCUUCUACUGGAUACAGUGACCGAGACCGAGGACAGCAGCGUACUCGCAAGAGCGGGCCUUCGGGCACCUUUACGCUUAGGGCGUUGGCAUA